AAUCUCCAAACAAUCUUACCCUUGCGUCUCUCUCACGCUCUCAACAGAAACCCAAUCGCCCUCACGAACUCACCUCUCAAACUCUGCCUCAUCCUCUCAACUCACAAUCUCACUCAAUCGUUACCAACUAAACUCUCUCAAACUCAGACAUUCGUUCGAAUUCACAUGCUCAAACAAAGAAAUCUCACCUUUGGCGACGACGAAUCAGGUGAGCUUAAAUCUUCCUCCUCAAUACUGUUUUUUUUUAUUUGGGAUUUUAGGGUUUGUGGUCUCUUGUUCGCUGUUUCCUUUUUCCGUUUAUGGUCGCCUCCCUCUCUCAAUUUUUUGUCGUUAAUUUUUCGUCCUCCACUGAUUUCUCUUUUUCUCCUUUUAUGCUCCAGAUUAGGGUUUCAAAAUUUGGUCUCUAGAGCUCAAAGAAGAAAAUGCCAAAACACUUUUUUGUGUUCAGUACUGGAUUGGCCCUGUUUGAUGCUGCGAUUCGGAAAGGGUACUCUGAACUUAGCUUUUUAAUCGCUUUUGCCUUAAUCCCAAAUUGGGAAAUUUCUGGAUAUUAAUGCUUUGCU
rnacentral:lncRNA from 1 species